rnacentral:misc_RNA from 1 species
UCUCCGUUGGUGAACCAGCGGAGGGAUCAUUACAGAGUUAUCUAACUCCCAAACCCAUGUGAACUUACCAGUGUUGCCUCGGCGGGUCUGAUGUACCCAUCCUCUGGCUUUUUGCUGGGGAGUAUCCGCCGAUGGAUUUUCAAACCAGACUUUAACCUACAAUCUGAGUCAAACAAAAUAAAAACAAAACUUUCAACAACGGAUCUCUUGGUUCUGGCAUCGAUGAAGAACGCAGC